UAUGUUAAAGAUUUGUUUAUUACUCUUCCAUCAGAAUCCGUUUAUGAAUAUUCUAUGCAAUCCUUGUUGGAGAAUCAAGUUAAAUGAUCUUAGACUGAUUUGCUUAUAUUAAUCUAAUGUUGAAGGUGGAGUAUUGCAUAUACCAUUAUCUUACCUACUAAAGCUCAAAUCUGAACACUAAGGUUUGAGUGGGGGGAUACCCAUUUUUCAAUUCUCACAAAUCCUUCCCAGUUCCCAAAAUGCCUUUGAAAACACUUACCAUCAAGCACUUAAUCUUCACCUACAUGAGAAAAUAACCUCUGCUGACUGAGUGACACAUGAGGUGGAAGCCACCACUUCCCAUCCUUCCCAAACAUUUCUGCGAAAGACCCGGAAAAAUCUUGACUUAUCCAUGGUCGUUUUCAUGGAAAACAAACAGCUUGAAGCUAGGAAAUUAGUAUUUUCAGGGGAUGUAAGUUGAAUUUCCUACUAGUAGUCAGCAUUGGUAACCAAUGCAGUUGCACUUAUUGACUUGUUCUUAGCUCUCAUCUACCUGCAGGAACUAGGUUUGGCUGUUAGCUGAAUACUACCUCAUCCCUCAUCCAUUGCCCUACAAUCACAUUUCUCACUACCACAUUGUUGUCAGGUUUUGCCAUGUGAGUACUGAAGGAAGGGGACCAAUAGGAUGGUACAGGGAAGAAACUGAAUUCAGUCUGGAAGCAAAAAUAGUUAGCCCAACAUGAGUCUUUUUGGGUACUAAUGUAACUGGCCAAGCACAACCAUGGUAGAGCAGUAAAAUUAAAUAUUCGCUUCGGGUUAUCCCCUAUGGUUCUGCAAAGGUUUCAGGGAGAUGACCACAAUGCAUCAUAAAGGGCACUUCUCCACGACAUUUUAAAACCAUUAACGGAAAAGGGUGUGAGGGAGUCUUUGCAGCAAAGGUCUUCAAGUAAACCCGAUGAGGAUGGGAUAGAAGUACUCCUACUGCAUCAACAAGAAGGGCGACGGAUAUGAGGAUGAAAGAAAAGGUCGCAGAGGAAAUAAGAAGAACUGUGCUCGAUAAGGUACCAUCUAGAGGAGAAAACAAGCUAAACAACUGUAGGAACUUCAGGAACAGAAUAGUGGUAGCCCAUACAUAGUACCAAUUGGAUGCAAGAAUGUCUGAAAUCCUCAUCUUUGGAGCAAUACUUGAGCAAUAGACAUGAGAUGGGCAAAGAGGACUUGAGUAUAUAUAGGGUGCGUGGCGUAAAUGAAAAGACCUAAAGGCACUGGAUCAAGUAGAGAAAGAGAGGGCUUGAAAGUUAUGGAAGAAUGUGGAACGUCAUGUUGAGAGGAUGGAGAUGGGGGUGAAUUGGGUUAGCUGGAUGGCUAAGAAAUUGGUCUAAGAUGAGCUUUUAAUGUGAAGAAAGGAGAAGGGAGGUGGGACCACAAGAGUUCCUCUCACAGAAGGUGAGACCCCACAUCUUUAAAGAGGAGAAUUGAAGGGUUUUCAUUGUAGGGUAGAGUAGUAAUGAAUCAUAGCAAUUGGCAAGAUGGUACCACAUUUCUUGAUUUGGAAGAGAAUUCAAUGUAAGUGUCACCAAAGGAGCUGCAAACAAACCAAGUUGAGCAAUUAAAAGUACCUUGUGAGCAGUAAGGGCUCUGCCUCUAGUUCGUCAUAUGUUCAUGGCCGGCUUUUCUUUUCAGAUAGGUGUGCAUUUAAAGCAGGGUCAUCCCAGCCAUAACCAUUGAAGCUAAUUCCUCAAACUACAGCUCGGAUUGCGUUGCCUUUGGGGUGGCCAGGCAUUAAAAGUCGGUUCAGCCUUUGAAACGAAUCUAUGACUAUGCAAUGCACCGCUUCUGCUGACUUUGUGGGUCAGGGGGAUUCAAUGGAAAAUCAAGCACCCACCAUGCUAGAGCCCAUCCUAGAGCUGUCCCACCAAUUGGAAAGGUCCUGAGAAACCAAUAUCUAAUUCGGGUUUGUCAAUGGCCAGUUAAUGUGGCACCAACAACCCUGAUUUUCGUAACUAUUCAAUGGCAGGAAACCUGUGCAACCACCGUUCUUUUAUGCUGACUGGAUUUAGUGAACUGAAAUGGACACAAUCUUAAAGGGCAAGGUUCAAAGGGCUCAAGCUGCUAUCCUUUCCUGCUCAUGAAAUUAUCAACUUUCUUAUCACUGGGACAUCAAAUUUUUGUUAAUUUUCUACUCAAUUUGUAAACUUGUUAUAUUUUUGGGAUCACUAGCAUGAAAGAAUUUUAAGGAGUACGGGCUUGAAAUGUUGUAUGCA